CAUAGAUAAAAGCAUUAUAAAACAUCCAUAUUAUGUAAUAUUUUUGAAACCAUUAAAUUCAGAAUAUUAUUUAAUGACCAGAGAAAUGCUCCUUAUGCCAUAAUAUGCCUGAGCACUAUAGAGGGAGUGGAGAUGGAGAGAAGUAGACAGGUUUGGUACAUAUUUUGGAGCUAGAAUAUACUUUCUUGUAGGAGCUGAUUGCUUCUAAAUGGGUGGUGGGGAGUGUGAAUUGAAGAGUCAAUGACAAACGUGUAGAUUAAUGGCUAGAACAGCUGGGUGGAUGACUGACAUUUAUAGAGACUAUGGAGAUGGGAGAGGAAAGGAAAACAAUUUGGAUGGUAGAGCAAUAAAAAUUAAAUAUCAAAAAAGGAAGAAUUAAAAUGUGGACAUGUUAAAUCUGAGAUGUUCGUGAAAUGUCCAACUGUAGGUUAAGUGUGUCAGCAACAUGCAUGUCUAGCGCUCAGAGGGGAGUUGGUAUUGGAGACAGAGAUUUCGGCUCCAUAGGCAUGUGUUUAAAAAUGGUGGGAAAUGAUAAAUUCUCAGAGACAGGGUGGGGAAAAGAGAAAAAAGGGCCAGACCUAAAGAACAACAACAUUGAGAGGUUAGGUGCAGGUGGAGCGCUUAGCAACGAACAUGAAGGAGAAACCAGAGAACUGGAAACCCCAAAGAGGAUGAUGUCACAAAAGCCAGUAGAGGAGAGUUUUACAAGGUGUGAGCAAUCAACUAUGUUCACCGCUGUUGAGAGGUCAAUCCUGUGAAGAAGGAGCCACAAGGGCCCAUUGUGUUUGGCAAUGUGGAGGUCUCAUCUUCCUAACGGAUGCACAGAAUCAACAGAGAUAAAGCACGCAUACUCACAGACCAUGGUCAGCACCCUGACUGAGAUGCUGUGUGUGUGAGGUUCCUGAGAAGGAGCUCGGCAGGGCCCCUCUCACUGUUCAGAAUUUGUUGGAAGCAAGUAAGUUAAGCAUUUGCCAUCUGACUGUACAGGAACAUCGGGAAACCAGUUUCUGACUCAGCGGAUGAGCUCAUCACACAAGAAACAAUAAUUCAGAUGUAAAUUUCCUAGCUAAAUGCUGCCUGUACCAUCUGCUGGGACUUCUCACCGUUUUUCAGGCCACCUGACUCAGCUAAGCAUGAGUAAAUGCGACACUGAGCUUCAGAAAGACUUAUUGACAGCUUGACAGUGUCGAGACUCCAGUCCUGACCGUGGGUUCUCAGAAGACCAUGCUCCUAAUCACCAAGUGAUAUUGCAUCCCCAGUGCUGGCCCAGGAAGAGAUCACUUCUGUACCUUCCUGUCCUCCGGGCAGCUGUGACUCAUAAAUGAGCUCUGGCUCAGCAGCCUGGUUUUCACUGGCUUCUUGAGGUGGGAAAGGGGAGGGACUGGGACUGGCUGAACCAGGUUCUGGCUUUGUCCUGAGGGGAUCCAUUUCUCUGGGGAUGAGAAAUGGGCAAGGAGGAGAUAAUGUGAGGCUUUUGUGAGAAAAUAAUGAGCAAAUCCCAGAUUGUAGCUUGUGAGAAGGGGUUGGUCCUCCCUGCAAGUCCCAUCUAUAGGGACUCCUCGUCU